ACCAGCAGAGCGGGGGGUCUUCAGCCCU
rnacentral:piRNA from 1 species